UGGGGAAUAUUGCACAAUGGGCGCAAGCCUGAUGCAGCCAUGCCGCGUGUAUGAAGAAGGCCUUCGGGUUGUAAUGUACUUUCAGUCGGGAGGAAGGUGGUAAGGUUAAUAACCUUGGCAAUUGACGUUACCCGCAGAAGAAGCACUUGCUAACUCUGUGCUAGCAGCCGCGGUAAUGCGGAGGGUGCAAGCGUUAAUCGGAAUUACUGGGCGUAAAGCGCACGCAUUCGGUCUGUCAAGUCAGAUGUGAAAUCCCCGGGCUCAACCUGGGAACUGCAUUCGAGACUGGCAGGCUAGAGUCUUGUAGAGGGGGGUAGAAGUCCAAAAGUAGCGGUGAAAUGCAUAGAGAUCUAGAGGAAUACCAGUGGCGAAGGCGGCCCACUGGACAAAGACUGACGCUCAGGUGCGAAAGCGUGGGGAGCAAACAGG
rnacentral:rRNA from 1 species